UGGGGAAUCUUGCGCAAUGGGCGAAACCCUGAUCUAGCCAUGCCGCGUGAGCGAUGAAGGCCUUAGGGUUGUAAAGCUCUUUCAGUGGGGAAGAUAAUGACGGUACCCACAGAAGAAGCCCCGGCUAACUCCGUGCCAGCAGCCGCGGUAAGACGGAGGGGGCAAGCGUUGUCCGGAAUCACUGGGCGUAAAGCGCCCGUAGGCGGUGCGGUGCGUCGGUGCUGAAAGCGCCGGGCUUAACCCGGCGAG
rnacentral:rRNA from 1 species